rnacentral:rRNA from 1 species
GAUGAACGCUGGCGGCGUGCUUAACACAUGCAAGUCGAACGAGAAGUGGAGACGGAAACCUUCGGGCGGAAGACUUUAUUUCGAGUGGCGGACGGGUGAGUAACGCGUGGGUAACCUGCCUCAUACAGGGGGAUAACAGUUGGAAACGACUGUUAAUACCGCAUAAGACCACAGCACCGCAUGGUGCGGGGGUAAAAACUCCGGUGGUAUGAGAUGGACCCGCGUUCGAUUAGCCAGUUGGCGGGGUAACGGCCCACCAAAGCGACGAUCGAUAGCCGAUCUGAGAGGAUGACCGGCCACAUUGGGACUGAGACACGGCCCAAACUCCUACGGGAGGCAGCAGUGGGAAAUAUUGCACAAUGGGGGAAACCCUGAUGCAGCGACGCCGCGUGAGUGAAGAAGUAUUUCGGUAUGUAAAGCUCUAUCAGCAGGGAAGAAAAUGACGGUACCUGAGUAAGAAGCCCCGGCUAACUACGUG